GCAGUGGUAGCUCAGGGGUUAAAACAUUGGACUUUUGAUUGGACGGUUGUGAGUUCAAAUCCCAGCACGCCACUGCU